GUUUUACAGCUUCUCUAAUGGCGACUUCCUCUCCGCCUAAACCUUCCACCAAUACCAUAAACUACCUUUCUCCUAACUACCCAUCUCGCUUUUCAACCAAAAAACCCACCCUCAUCAAUUUUUCGACAACCCAUUCCGUAUUUCAAUCCAAAUGGAGGAAUCGGUUGGGGUUUGAUCGAAUACGAGUGGCCGGAGAGAGAAGAGUAUCGGCGGCGGUGGUUCGGUGCACGGCGGAGGGGAUAGAGAGAAGCAUUCCCUUUGGCCGGAGAUCAAUCGGAUCCACCGCUGAAGACAG
rnacentral:misc_RNA from 1 species